CAAAAAAGCAAUCUUGGGUUCAUAAAUUGGCCAGGGGAAGAGUAAAUAAUGGUUAAGAACUCCCCCACUAGGGGAGGACCUAGUUAAAGGGACUGGUAAUUCUAAUACUUCCUACGGGAUAGAGCGGGGAUUUCCGCCCUUGCGCUUAUUAUGACCCUAAAUUCUAUUAUCUUGUUGGGGGGGGAAAAGGCCCCCCCAAGGCAAAAAUCUGUUACCGGGUCUGAAAGGGAUGACCCCCCCCCCCGGGGAAUUGAAAACCCGGCCCCAAAACCCCCACGGGGGGGAGGGGGGGGGAAAAUUUGGGAAAAGGGGCACAAGCCUUAUCCCCCCCUGCCGCGGGGGAAAAAAAGGCCUUAUGGUUGAAACGCCCUUUUAGCGAGGAAGAGGCUACUUUAAUUAACACCUAAAGAAAGUGGACGUUACUCCCAGAAUAACCCCGGCUAACUCUGGGCCCGCAGGCGCGGUACUACAAAAGGGGCAGCUUAACCGGAUUUACUGGGCGUAAAGCGCGCGGAAGCGGCUAAUUAAUUCAAAUGUGAAAUCCCCGAACUUUAACUUGAAAUUGCAUUCCAUACUGGUAACUAGAGUGGGGGAAAGGAUGGAAGGAAUUCCAGGUGAGCGAUGAAAAUGCGUAGAGAUCUGAGGAAUUACGGAUGGGAAGGCGCCAUCUGGCCUAACGUGACGAUAGGUGGGAAAGCAUGCGGGAGCAAACACGAUUAAAUCCCUGGUAGUCCAUGCCGUAAACGAUGUUUACUAGCCGUUGGGGCCUUGAGGCUUUAGUGGCGCAGCUAACGCGAUAAGUAGGCCGCUUGGGGAGUACGGUUGCAAGACUAAAAAUCAAAUGAAUUGCCGGGGGCCCGCCCAAGCGGUGGAGCAUUUGGUUUAAUUCGAUGCAACGCGAAGAACGGUUCCUGGCCUUGCCAUAGUAAGCACUUUCCGGAGAUGGAUUGGUGCCUUCGGGAAGUUACAUCCAGGGUGUUGCAUGGCUGUCGUCAGCUCGUGUUCGUGAGAAGUUGGGGUUAAGUCCCCCCAACGAGCGCAACCCUUUUCCUUAUUCCCCAGGGGGUAAAGGUGGGGGCACUUUAAGGGAUACCGCCAGUGACAAGGGGGAGGAAGGCGGGGGACGACAUCAAGUCAUUCAUGGCCCUUUCGGGGCAGGGCCUACCCCCCUUCAACCAAUGGUCGGUACAAAAGGGUUGCUCCCGAGGGAUAGGAUGUUAAUAUAAAAAAGCCGAUGUUAGUCCGGAUUUGAGUAUCUAACUCCCUCCAUUAGUCUGAAUCGUUAUUAAUGGUCGAUCAGAAUGCGGCGAAGAAUUGUUGCCCGCUUUAACCCACCCCCGUCUCACCAAGGAGUUUCUCCACCAGAAGGAGCCCCCCCCCG
rnacentral:rRNA from 1 species